rnacentral:rRNA from 1 species
CCUACGGGUGGCAGCAGUGGGGGAUAUUGCACAAUGGGGGAAACCCUGAUGCAGCGACGCCGCGUGGGUGAAGAAGCGCCUCGGCGCGUAAAGCCCUGUCAGCAGGGAAGAAAAUGACGGUACCUGACUAAGAAGCCCCGGCUAACUACGUGCCAGCAGCCGCGGUAAUACGUAGGGGGCAAGCGUUAUCCGGAUUUACUGGGUGUAAAGGGGGCGUAGACGGCAGUGCAAGCCAGGAGUGAAAGCCCGGGGCUCAACCCCGGGACUGCUCUGGGAACUGCGUGGCUGGAGUGCAGGAGGGGCAGGCGGAAUUCCUGGUGUAGCGGUGAAAUGCGUAGAUAUCAGGAGGAACACCAGUGGCGAAGGCGGCCUGCUGGACUGUAACUGACGUUGAGGCCCGAAAGCGUGGGGAGCAAACAGGAUUAGAUACCCGAGUAGUC